AGAAUCAACGCUGGCGGCGUGCCUAACACAUGCAAGUCGAACGGGAAAGUGGAGCAAUCCAUGAGUAUAGUGGCGACCGGGUGAGUAACACGUGACUACCUACCCUUGAGUGGGGGAUAACCUCGGGAAACCGAGGCUAAUACCGCAUAAUAUCGAAAGAUCAAAGGAGUAAUCCGCUUUUGGAGGGGGUCGCGGCUGAUUAGCUAGUUGGUAAGGUAAUGGCUUACCAAAGGCGAAGAUCGGUA
rnacentral:rRNA from 1 species